GCCCAUUGCGGGGUUUCUUAUACAUGCAGUCGAGCGGACUAAUGGGAGCUUGCUCCCGUUAGUUAGCGGCGGACGGGUGAGUAACACGUGGGCAACCUACCUGUAAGACUGGGAUAACUUCGGGAAACCGGAGCUAAUACCGGAUGACAUAAAGGAACUCCUGUUCCUUUAUUGAAAGAUGGCUUCGGCUAUCACUUACAGAUGGGCCCGCGGCGCAUUAGCUAGUUGGUGAGGUAACGGCUCACCAAGGCGACGAUGCGUAGCCGACCUGAGAGGGUGAUCGGCCACACUGGGACUGAGACACGGCCCAGACUCCUACGGGAGGCAGCAGUAGGGAAUCUUCCGCAAUGGACGAAAGUCUGACGGAGCAACGCCGCGUGAGCGAUGAAGGCCUUCGGGUCGUAAAGCUCUGUUGUUAGGGAAGAAUAAGUGCUAGUUGAAUAAGCUGGCACCUUGACGGUACCUAACCAGAAAGCCACGGCUAACUACGUGCCAGCAGCCGCGGUAAUACGUAGGUGGCAAGCGUUGUCCGGAAUUAUUGGGCGUAAAGCGCGCGCAGGCGGUUUCUUAAGUCUGAUGUGAAAGCCCCCGGCUCAACCGGGGAGGGUCAUUGGAAACUGGGAAACUUGAGUGCAGAAGAGGAAAGUGGAAUUCCAAGUGUAGCGGUGAAAUGCGUAGAGAUUUGGAGGAACACCAGUGGCGAAGGCGACUUUCUGGUCUGUAACUGACGCUGAGGCGCGAAAGCGUGGGGAGCAAACAGGAUUAGAUACCCUGGUAGUCCACGCUGUAAACGAUGAGUGCUAAGUGUUAGAGGGUUUCCGCCCUUUAGUGCUGAAGUUAACGCAUUAAGCACUCCGCCUGGGGGAGUACGGUCGCAAGACUGAAACUCAAAGGAAUUGACGGGGGCCCGCACAAGUGGUGGAGCAUGUGGUUUAAUUCGAAGCAACGCGAAGAACCCUUACCAGGUCUUGACAUCCUCUGACAACCCUAGAGAUAGGGCUUUCCCUUCGGGGACAGAGUGACAGGUGGUGCAUGGCUUGUCGUCAGCUCGUGUCGUGAGAUGUUGGGUUAAGUCCCGCAACGAGCGCAACCCUUUGAUUUUAGUGCCAGCAUUUAGUUGGGCACCUCCUAAAGUGACUGCGUGACAAACCGGAGGAAGGUGGGAUGACGUCAAUCAUCAUGCCCCGUAUGACCUGCUUAACACACCG
rnacentral:rRNA from 1 species